rnacentral:rRNA from 1 species
UACGUAGGGUGCGAGCGUUUAAUCGGAAUUACUGGGCGUAAAGCGUGCGCAGGCGGUUUUGUAAGCCAGAUGUGAAAUCCCCGGGCUUAACCUGGGAAUGGCAUUUGGGACUGCAAGGCUCGAGUGCGGCAGAGGAGACUGGAAUUCCUGGUGUAGCAGUGAAAUGCGUAGAUAUCAGGAGGAACACCGAUGGCGAAGGCAGGUCUCUGGGGCUGACACUGACGCUCAUGCACGAAAGCGUGGGGAGCAAACGAGG